rnacentral:rRNA from 1 species
GGCGAACGGGUGAGUAACGCUUCGGAAUCUGCCCAAUGGUGGGGAAUAACCAGCCGAAAGGUUGGCUAAUACCGCAUGAGCCCUACGGGGGAAAGCGGGGGAUCGCAAGACCUCGCGCCGAUGGACGAGCCGAAGCCGGAUUAGCUAGUUGGUAGGGUAACGGCCUACCAAGGCGACGAUCCGUAGCUGGUCUGAGAGGACGACCAGCCACACUGGGACUGAGACACGGCCCAGACUCCUACGGGAGGCAGCAGUGGGGAAUAUUGGACAAUGGGGGAAACCCUGAUCCAGCGACGCCGCGUGUGUGAAGAAGGCCUGCGGGUUGUAAAGCACUUUUAGUGGGGAUGAAAAGCUCAGGCUAACACUCUGGGUCUUGACUAACCCACAGAAAAAGCACGGGUAACUCUGUUGCCAGCAGGCCGGG